UACGGAGGGUGCAAGCGUUGCUCGGAAUUAUUGGGCGUAAAGGGCAGGUAGGUGGUCUCAUUUGUCUGGGGUGAAAUCCUUGGGCUUAACUCAAGAAGUGCCUCGGAAACGGUGAGACUGGAGUCCUAGAGAGGGUCGUGGAAUUCCCGGUGUAGCGGUGAAAUGCGUAGAGAUCGGGAGGAACACCAGCGGCGAAGGCGGCGACCUGGAUAGGUACUGACACUCAACUGCGAAAGCGUGGGGAGCAAACAGG
rnacentral:rRNA from 1 species